rnacentral:rRNA from 1 species
AUGAUUGGCUUAGAUGACAAGGCAUCUUUACACAUGAUGUUUUGCACAGAGCAGUUCAGAGAGAAGUGCUUGCUGAGUUUGGUAUGGUUCCUUCCAGAUUUCCUAAAGAGGGCAGAAUUAUUGUUGGUCGUCUCACUUUAUGUACCAUGUUUGAUCAACCUAAUGCGCAUCUGCCAUAAUAUUACAGUAACAAUGUCGUUGAAGCUACUUAUUUCAUUCUGUUGUUACACCCUCACCGACUGGAAGAUCUCUACUGGAAGUUGCUGCUUAACUAUAAAGGUUCCCUUGAAUGUACACAACUUAUCAUACUUCAGAUAA